rnacentral:rRNA from 1 species
UGGGUAAGGCCCCCAGCAGAACACUGGGUUGAUAGGCCGGAGGUGUACAGCAGUAAUGCCUAGCCGACCGGUACUAAUAGGCCGAGGGCUUGUCCCACAA